UGAGGAAUAUUGGUCAAUGGGCGCAAGCCUGAACCAGCCAUCCCGCGUGCAGGAAGACGGCCCUAUGGGUUGUAAACUGCUUUUCCAGGAGGAGAAUUUAUCUGUCGUGACAGGAAUUGACGGUACCCUGGGAAUAAGCAUCGGCUAACUCCGUGCCAGCAGCCGCGGUAAUACGGAGGAUGCGAGCGUUAUCCGGAUUUAUUGGGUUUAAAGGGUGCGUAGGCGGAUUGAUAAGUCAGUGGUGAAAACCUGCAGCCUAACUGUAGACUUGCCGUUGAUACUGUCAGUCUUGAGUGUGGUCAAGGUAGGCGGAAUGUGUAAUGUAGCGGUGAAAUGCUUAGAUAUUACACAGAACACCGAUUGCGAAGGCAGCUUACUGGGCCAUUACUGACGCUGAUGCACGAAAGCGUGGGGAUCGAACAG
rnacentral:rRNA from 1 species